GACGAACGCUGGCGGCGUGCCUAAUACAUGCAAGUCGAACGCUUCUUUUUCCACCGGAGCUUGCUCCACCGGAAAAAGAGGAGUGGCGAACGGGUGAGUAACACGUGGGUAACCUGCCCAUCAGAAGGGGAUAACACUUGGAAACAGGUGCUAAUACCGUAUAACAAUCGAAACCGCAUGGUUUUGAUUUGAAAGGCGCUUUCGGGUGUCGCUGAUGGAUGGACCCGCGGUGCAUUAGCUAGUUGGUGAGGUAACGGCUCACCAAGGCCACGAUGCAUAGCCGACCUGAGAGGGCGAUCGGCCACAUUGGGACUGAGACACGGCCCAAACUCACAUGGGAGGCAGCAGUAGGGAAUCUUCGACAAUGGACGAAAGUCUGACCGAGCAACGCCGCGUGAGUGAAGAAGGUUUUCGGAUCGUAAAACUCUGUUGUUAGAGAAGAACAAGGAUGAGAGUAACUGUUCAUCCCUUGACGGUAUCUAACCAGAAAGCCACGGCUGACUACGUGCCAGCCGCCGCCGUAA
rnacentral:rRNA from 1 species